rnacentral:rRNA from 1 species
AGUGAACGCUGGCGGUAGGCCUAACACAUGCAAGUCGAACGGCAGCACAGGAGAGCUUGCUCUCUGGGUGGCGAGUGGCGGACGGGUGAGGAAUACAUCGGAAUCUACUUUUUCGUGGGGGAUAACGUAGGGAAACUUACGCUAAUACCGCAUACGACCUACGGGUGAAAGCAGGGGAUCUCCGGACCUUGCGCGAUUGAAUGAGCCGAUGUCGGAUUAGCUAGUUGGCGGGGUAAGGGCCCACCAAGGCGACGAUCCGUAGCUGGUCUGAGAGGAGGAUCAGCCACACUGGAACUGAGACACGGUCCAGACGCCUACGGGAGGCAGCAGUGGGGAAUAUUGGACAAUGGGCGCAAGCCUGAUCCAGCCAUACCGCGUGGGUGAAGAAGGCCUUCGGGUUGUAAAGCCCUUUUGUUGGGAAAGAAAUCCAGCUGGUUAAUACCCGGUUGGGAUGACGGUACCCAAAGAAUAAGCACCGGCUAACUUCGUGCCAGCAGCCGCCGUAA